GGGAAAGGUGCCUAAGCCAGAGAGCUUCACUGGGGAGCCUUGAUGUCUGAGUAAGAAUUAACCAGGUGAAGCAAAAGGGGAAAUAAGCUCUAGGAACAAACAGAGAGUUUCGAGUGCAAAGGCAGGCAGAGUAUGGGGAGGGAAGGCCUUACUUCUUUGUGACUGCAGCAUGAAAUUUGUUCAUAAAUCAUGUAGCAGUUACUUGCCUUGUCUGGUUGACAUAUACUUGAGGGAGGAUGGAAAGUGCUGGAUGUCUGAAGGUAAAUCAACUCUUCCUCUGGGAGGGCACGGAUAGAUAACUUCAUCGAUGUGCUUCAGGUUACAAUUUGAAUAGGCAGUAGAGAUAUGUAUAAACGCUUCCAGCUUUGGCAUCUGACUAGCCAUAAGCAAGAGCUGCCGGGUGGCAGUGACGUUAAGUUGCACAGCGUGUCUAGAGAAGAUUAAGUGGAAGGAAAUACAAUGAGGUAAGUCAGCAUCAUGCCUUGCUAUAACUGUACCUACUCCAAUAACUGGCAUACCUAUCAGAUUUUGGUGGCUGCACCAAACACCAGGGAGAGAAGGAUGGGUCAUAGCUACACAGUUAUGCGAUACUCGGAAUGUUUUAUGUAGUGAUGAUGUGUUUUGUGCACAUAAAUCCUAUUCAUUGACACACCGUACAUAUAUCUAGAGGACAGCUGGUUCAAAUCAACUGAAAAAAGAAUUACAGUCUUUUUGUAAAGGUGCUUCUAUAGGCAGCCAUUAAAAGAACAAAAACAUGUAAAUUAAACAUUUAACUGAAGAAGUUGGAAAGUAUAAAUAAACUUGAGGGGAGCAACAGUAGAAUUUUUAAAUGAGCAAGGUCUAGGCCAGACAUGAAAAUUGAUGUCAAAAUCUAAAAUUGCAGCUAGUAGAAUACAAAGCUAUAUAAACAGUAUGUGAUAACAAUGAAAUAGUUCAUUCCAGGAAUACAUGGUUUAUCCAAUGCCAGGAAACUUACUAAUUUAAUUUAACUCAAAAGAGAAAAACUAUAUAAGAAUAUAUAUGUAUUUUGAAAAGUUUAAAAUGAUGUUUAAUUUCCAUUUCCAAUUUAAUUAAACACAUUCACUAGAAUAGGAAUAAAAUGAUUAAGCAACAUAUAUUUAAAUUUGCUAGCCAAUAUCAUUCUUAAUGGUGAAAGCUAGGAGCACUGCUUGUAACGUCUGUGGUGGGAAUAAUGCCCACAAUCACACUACUACUUAACAUUGUUCUGAAGUCCUAGUCCUUUAAUUAAUUAGAAAGAAAAA